UAUUAAAAAUAUUUUGGGGCAUUUAAUACUUAUUUUAUAGUUAUCGGCACGAAUAAUGAGCUCUCGGCGGAAGAGUGGGGAUCGCUUUGCGCACUGUACACUUAAGGCAAUAAACCAAUAAAUCACUUCUGGGCAGGUGAAGGUCAGGGCUCAAUAUCCGUGCCGAUAACU
rnacentral:lncRNA from 1 species